rnacentral:rRNA from 1 species
UCGCCCCUACGGGACGCAGCAGUGGGGAAUAUUGCACAAUGGGGGGAACCCUGAUGCAGCGACGCCGCGUGAGUGAAGAAGUAUUUCGGUACGUAAAGCUCUAUCAGCAGGGAAGAAAAAAGGACGGUACCUGAGUAAGAAGCCCCGGCUAACUACGUGCCAGCAGCCGCGGUAAUACGUAGGGGGCAAGCGUUAUCCGGAUUUACUGGGUGUAAAGGGAGCGUAGACGGUACAGCAAGUCUGAUGUGAAAGGUCGGGGCCCAACCCCGGGACUGCAUUGGAAACUGUUGAACUGGGGUA